CCGAGAUUGCACCACUGCACUCCAGCCUGGGCGACAGAGCAAUUAGCCGGGUGUGGUGGUGCACACCUGUAGUCCCAAGUACUCGGGAGGCUGAGGCGGGAGGAUGACUUGGGCCCAGGAAUUUGAGGUGGUAGUGAGCUGAGAUCACACCACUGCACUCCACCCUCACUCCAGGGUGACAGGGUGAGGCCCUGUCUCAAAAAGUAAAUAAAUAAGUAAAUGAAAAAUAAAAAUGUGACAAGACCAGGUGCUCAUUGAUGAGUGAAUGGAAAAACGAAAUGGGGUCCAUCUGUGCCUGGAAAAUUCUUCAGCCAUAAAAAGGAGUGGAACGCUGACACAGGCUACAUUGGGACGAACCUUGAGACCCUUCUGCAGAGUGAAAGAUGCCGGUCACGAGAGGCUACAUGCGUGUGCCUCUGUGUCUCCAGAAUGCACACAACAGGCAAAGCCACAGCAGGGCUCAUUUUGAAACCCAAGCUUGGUCUCCUCUCUUUGCCGUGUGAAUUGUCUAUGGAUUCCGGCUGAAAGCGGCGGACCCUGGCUGGUGGGUGCAGGUGCAGUACAGUUAGAGCUGGAGGCAGUCCUGCCUCGUGCAGCCACUGCCGGCGCUCGGGAUGUAACCACUUGGACCCUCUGUUUCGUCUUCAGUAAAACAAAGCCAGCACCAAAAGGGUUAAGAUUGGAACAGACUUUCCUCAACUCUGAUCCAUGGACCUGUGCGUUGGUGCCAAUGUCUUCAUCGAUGUACAGUGAAACGAGGAAAAGGAGCGCCAAGUGGAAUAAAUCAUUCAUGUGGGCCGGGCGCGGUGGCUCACGCCUGUAAUCCCAGCACUUCGGGAGGCCAAGGCAGGUGGAUCGCUUGAGCCCAGGAGUUUGAGAGCAGCUUGGGCAACAUAGGGAGAACUCGUCUCUAUUAAAAAAAAUAAUACUUUCGUGUAAAAGGCUUUUUGUGCAGAGAUUGUGCUAUCCUACUGUAUUUGGUGCU
rnacentral:lncRNA from 1 species